UACGUAGGGUGCGAGCGUUGUCCGGAAUUAUUGGGCGUAAAGAGCUUGUAGGCGGUUUGUCGCGUCUGCCGUGAAAUUUCGAGGCUCAACCUCGAACUUGCGGUGGGUACGGGCAGACUAGAGUGUGGUAGGGGAGACUGGAAUUCCUGGUGUAGCGGUGGAAUGCGCAGAUAUCAGGAGGAACACCGAUGGCGAAGGCAGGUCUCUGGGCCACUACUGACGCUGAGAAGCGAAAGCAUGGGGAGCGAACAGG
rnacentral:rRNA from 1 species